rnacentral:sRNA from 1 species
CAAUACAGGGAUCCUGACAGGAAAUGAAGGACAGUUGGGUCACCAGGAAAGGUAGCUGGAAGAUCCAAUGUCAGAGCUCCUCCCUGUGCCCUACUAGGGUGAGAGGAAGGUGAGGGAGGAAAGGCUGGUUGUCCAUCUGCCCCUCCCAGCACCCCAGCUUUUCCUGCAUAACUCAUGACCUCUCUUCCCCACUUUGCUUACACAAGACAGUGGAUUUCCAUAGUGCCCACUUGGAUUCCCAUCCCAUGAGGCCCUGCAGCUCAGCUCCUCUCAACUGGCUCAUGUCUGUGUCUCUUGGUCAAACAAAUGGCACAGCCUGACCUCUAGCUUGGUCCCAUCAGGUCUGGCAUCUGUGCCAGCAGCUGCAUCUGUAGCCAGGAGGUGGGUGGACUUAUGAGGUAUAAACAGGCUAUUUGGUCUGUGACCAGGGGCACAGUCUCUUGGAGGGGGUGAGGGUAGAGAUGCAAAGACUGAGCAUCUGGCACAGCAUUCCCAUUCAGCAUCUGGGUCAAGCGGGUGUGGACCCAGGGUUGCAGUUAGUAGAUUGGAUCUGCUUUAGGAUGGCAGUAACAGUGUGGCAAGCUUGGACCUGUCAAAUAUUUGGGGGCAUUUAGGGUAGUGGUUCUCAAACUCAAGCUUACAUUAGAAUCCCCUAGAGGGCUUGUUAAAACAGAUUGCUGGGCCCCCCUCCAGAGGUUCUGAUUUCUAUAGGCAUGUAACCUGAGAAUGUGUAUUUCUAACAAGUUCCCAGGCGAUGCUGGUGCCAGGGCCACACUUUGAGAACCACUGCUUUAGGGGAAAAGACUUGUGGGGCUGGGAUGGUGGUGGUGAAGUUUUUGCUGUUGUCCUUUGUGUUUUUCCUUUUCUAUCACUGAAUGAAGGAAUUGUACUUUUUUAUUAAUGAAGGUGAUUUUUACAAUGAAUUAGCUACAGGGUGGAGGAGCCCGAGACAUUAGUGGAACUUCAAAGGAAUGAGUGGGAUCCAAUCAUCGAAUGGGCUGAGAAAAGAUACGGCGUGGAGAUCAGCUCCUCCACCAGCAUAAUGGGACCCAGCAUCCCUGCCAAGACUCGGGAGGUGCUCGUCAGCCACCUGGCAUCUUACAACACAUGGGCUUUACAAGGGAUUGAGUUUGUAGCUGCCCAGCUCAAGUCCAUGGUGCUGACCUUGGGCCUGAUUGACAUGCGCCUGACAGUGGAGCAGGCCGUGCUGCUGUCACGCCUGGAGGAGGAGUACCAGAUCCAGAAGUGGGGCAACAUUGAGUGGGCCCAUGACUAUGAGCUGCAGGAGCUGCGGGCCCGCACCGCCGCCGGCACCCUCUUCAUCCAUCUCUGCUCCGAGAGCACCACAGUCAAGCACAAGCUCCUGAAGGAGUGAGGCCUGGGCAGAGCACACUCAGCAGGAUAGAGGCAGUGCAGCCACAGCUCCCCCAGCCUUCAGGGCUCCCCAGCCUGUGGGGCUGGCUUCCUUGGCUUUUGGGGGCUCGUCCUCAGCGUCACCCUGAGAGUCCCCCCGAGACACAGUGCGCUAGUACGGCUGUCCGGAGGUCAGCCUGAUUUCAACCCAGGUGCCCCUGGCCUGGCCAGCAGUGAAUGUAGGAGAUGAAUUGUACAAGUGACUUUCUCUUGACUCUGAUUUUAUUAAAUAUUUCUCCACCCUGGAAA